UACGAAGGGGGCGAGCGUUGUUCGGAUUUACUGGGCGUAAAGGGCGCGCAGGCGGCUCAUUUUGUCAGGCGUGAAAGCCCCGGGCUUAACCUGGGAACUGCGUUUGAUACGGAUGGGCUAGAGUUCGGGAGAGGAGAGUGGAAUUCCCAGUGUAGAGGUGAAAUUCGUAGAUAUUGGGAAGAACACCGGUGGCGAAGGCGGCUCUCUGGACCGAUACUGACGCUGAGGCGGCGAAAAGCGUGGGGGAGCAAACAGGAUUAGAAACCCCCGGU
rnacentral:rRNA from 1 species